AAGUCGUAACAAGGUUUCCGUAGGUGAACCUGCGGAAGGAUCAUUAACACGUAUCCAACGUAUCCACCCCUGUGGUCCUGUGCGCGGCUCUAUAUGUGAGUGGUAGAAACCAACUUUGUCAACCUGCGUGGUUGCAAAUUGCAAAUCUUCUGAGUUGAGGCAGGUUAGUCUGCGUGACUAAUCUGACCAAAGACCUAAUCAACCUGCGUGGUUGGUGGUUCUCAGCUCGGCAAGAUCUGGUAAUACUAGCUUUCUGCGAGAAAGCAGCUUCAUAUAGCAGACGUUGUUAACCAAACCAUUUACCUGAUUUGACUAAUUUAGAAAUAAGUACGGCGCGCCCUGCUUUAUUUCGAUUAUACGAAACGUAUAACAACUCUUAACAACGGAUAUCUUGGUUCUCGUAACGAUGAAAAACGCAGC
rnacentral:misc_RNA from 1 species